GAGCGGAACCAUGGAGUGGGGGAUCACCCGAUCCCAUUCCGAACUCGGCAGUUAAGCCCCACCUCGCCGAAAGUACUGCGGCGC
rnacentral:rRNA from 1 species